UUGAGGGAUAACAAUUAAAUUUAAAUCAAUGCUCUUUUGAGACUCUUUUAGAACUAAAGUUUAAGUAGUCUUAAACUUUAAUAACUUCAACCGAGGGUACCUGUUUAAAAUAAAGCAUGUCAAAUUAGAUCAAAUUCCAUAUUACAAGGGGUGAAAUGUUAAGACUACUACUGAGUUUAUUCAGAUGAUCAAUUAGAAUAGAAACUUUAAGAAAUAAAUGUAAGAAGAGAGAAUGGUAAAGAAAAAUUACUUAACUCUGGCACCAUGAGCAUGCAGACUUAUCUGUUUAUACACAUUUAAUACAUUUUAUUAUUUCUCCAUGAGUGGAACUUGUUUAAAUAUGAAUUAAAAAUCCAUUUAAGGUAGUAUAUUGAAGGCAUUAUGCUUCCUACCUAUAAGAAGACUUAAGUGGAAAUACUUCUGAAACGAUGGUAUUGUUUCAAUUAUAUAUUAGUUCACAUUGUACUAUAUUAUCAGUAACAGAAGAGAAAAUAUCCUGUAUCAUCUUUGGGUAUUCCUGCAUGAACACUACUAUU
rnacentral:lncRNA from 1 species